rnacentral:rRNA from 1 species
UACAGAGGUCUCAAGCGUUGUUCGGAUUCAUUGGGCGUAAAGGGUGCGUAGGGUGGUGGGGUAAGUCGGAUGUGAAAGCUCGGAGCUCAACUCCGAAAUGGCAUUGGAAACUACCCUGACUGGAGGUUUGGAGGGGGGACUGGAAUGACUUGGUGUAGCAGUGAAAUGCGGUAAGAUAUCAAGUGGAACACCAGUGGCGAAGGCGAGAUCCCUGGACAAAACCUGACACUGAGGCACGAAAGCUAGGGGAGCAAACAGG